GUUUUGUCCAAGGAUCCGAAACCACUUUGCAGUCCACAUACUCUGACACUAGUGCCCAGCCCACCUGUGAUUAUGGAUAUGGAACUUGGAACUCAGGAACAAAUAGAGGCUACGAGAACUAUGGUUAUGGCUAUGGCUAUGGCCAGGAUAACACCACCAACUAUGGGUAUGGUAUGGCCACUUCACACUCUUGGGAAAUGGCUAGCUCUGACACAAAUGCAAAUCCUAGUGCCUCGGGUAGCACCAGUGCCGAUUCCGUUUUAUCCAGAAUUAACCAGCGCUUAGAUAUGAUGCCACACUUGGAGACAGACAUGAUACAAGGAGGUGUGUACGGCUCAGGUGGUGGAGAAAGAUAUGACUCCUAUGAGGCCUGUGACUCAAGGGCCAUCCUGAAUGAACGUGACCUCUACCGGUCGAGCUAUGACUAUGGCGAGCUUGACCCCGAGAUGGAAAUGGCCUAUGAGGGCCAAUAUGAUGCCUACCGUGACCAGUUUCGAAUGCGUGGAGGAGAUACAUAUGGUCCAAGGGCUCAGGGCUGGGCCCGGGAUGCCCGGAGUGGACGGCCAAUGGCCUCGGGCUAUGGGCGCAUGUGGGAAGACCCCAUGGGGGCCCGGGGCCAGUGCAUGCCUGGUGCCUCCCGGCUGCCCUCCCUCUUCUCCCAGAACAUCAUCCCCGAGUAUGGCAUGUUCCAGGGCAUGCGUGGUGGGGGUGCCUUCUCUGGUGGCUCCCGCUUUGGCUUCGGAUUUGGCAAUGGCAUGAAGCAGAUGAGGCGGACCUGGAAGACCUGGACCACAGCUGACUUCCGGACGAAAAAGAAGAAGAGAAAGCAGGGUGGCAGUCCUGAUGAGCCAGACAGCAAAGCUACCAGAACAGACUGCUCAGACAACAGUGACUCAGACAAUGAUGAAGGCACUGAGGGGGAAGCUGCAGAGGGUACUGAAAGUGCUGAGACUUUGGAGAAAGGCUCCCGAGCAGAAGGAGAGGAAGAGGAGGGAAAAGAGGAAGGGAGAGAAGAAGGCAAAGACGAUUCAGAGAAAGGGGCCUUAACCACCCAGGAUGAGAACAGCCAGGCCAAACGCAAGUUGCAGGCAAGCAAGAAGAGCCAAGACAAGCAGAAAAAGCGGCAGCGAGACCGUAUGGUAGAAAGGAUCCAGUUUGUGUGUUCUCUCUGCAAAUACCGGACUUUCUAUGAGGAUGAGAUGGCUAGCCACCUUGACAGCAAGUUCCACAAGGAACACUUCAAAUAUGUAGGCACCAAGCUUCCCAAGCAGACCGCUGACUUUCUGCAGGAAUAUGUCACCAACAAGACCAAGAAGACAGAGGAGCUCCGAAAAACUGUGGAAGACCUUGAUGGUCUGAUCCAGCAAAUCUACAGAGACCAAGAUCUGACCCAAGAAAUUGCUAUGGAGCAUUUUGUGAAGAAGGUGGAGGCAGCCCAUUGUGCAGCCUGUGACCUCUUCAUCCCCAUGCAGUUUGGAAUCAUCCAAAAGCAUCUCAAAACUAUGGAUCACAACCGGAACCGCAGGUGUUCUGCCUGCAUGUGUGCCUACAGACCAGAAGAGGACACCAGGUCUCAUAAUGCAUGGUUGUGAGCCACCAUGUGGUUUCUGGAAAUUGAACUCAGGACCUUUGGAAGAACAGCCAGUGCUCUUAACCUUUGAACCAUCUCUCCAUCCCCCUCCCCUUUUCUGGUUUUUUUUUUUUUUUUUUUUUUUUUUUGAGACAAGGUUUCUCUGUGUAGCCUCAGCUGUCUUGGACUCACUUUAUAGACCAGGCUGGCCUCAUAGAGAUCCACCUGCCUCUGCCUCCCUCAGUGCCGGGAUUACAGGCGUGCGGACACACACUGCUAGUGGGUCUAUUUAUAGAUACGAUGUAUACAGAAAACUCUGAUGGCUAUUGAGGCAGCUCAAUUGGUAAAGGCACUUGUUGCCAAGUGUGGCAGCCUGUGUUUGAGUCCUGGUAUACAUGUGGUGGAAAGAACCAACUUGCUUUCCCUUUUUUUCUUUAAUCACAUCUGUGCGCCUAUCAUUGAAGAAAAUGAUCAGUAUGUUGAUGUAGUCUUCCAGACAGAAUUACUUAGAUGUGAUAGUACAGGUCUGCAAUUCCAGCCUUUUUUGGAGGUCAAAAGGAUCACAAGUUCAAAGCCAGUUUAUAAAUCAGACACAGUCAAGUGUUCUGCAAUCCUGACACUAGGAAGGCCGAGGCAGAAGAAAUACCACAAGUUUGAGAGAUCACCAUGGACUACAUAAUGAGUUCAGGUCAGCCUAGUCUACGAAAUGUCUCAAACAAAAAAAUAAUCCCAGAACAACCAAACAAGUCCCCCAGAACACCCUAAGCUUAAUCACAGAAGACCCUGUCUCAACAAAGGGCCCAUGCUUUCACACUGUGUGUCACAUACUUUCAUCCUCUGCCAGCAGCCCUUAGGAGCUGAAUGGUGCUCUUUUAGAUAGUAUGGUUUACCUACUUCUCCACUAAAGAAAAAGAUGAGUUCUUUACCCUCACAACUAGUAAGUGUGCGUAUUUCUACAUUUUAUUUUCUUUCUUUUUCCAGACAGGGUUUCUCUGUGUUUCCCUGGCUGGCCUUGAACUCCCAGAAAUCACCUGCCCUUGCCUCCCAAGUACUGCGAUUAAGGUGUGCACCACCACACCUGUUUUAUUUCUAUUUUUUGGGGGAAUUACUGAGGCAAAUUUGUAUGUCUGUUGUAGUCUCAAACAGCUGUUCAAGUCUGUAACUAGUUGAUCCACCAGGAGAGAAGUGUAUCUUUUUAACCUUACGUAUGUCCAAGUCCUGUGGAUUAAGAGGAUGUAUAACAACAGAGUUUCAUCUAUAUUCCCAUUUUGUUUUGUUUUGGCAGUCUUAUGUAGCCCAGGCUAUCUCGGAAUUCACUCUAUAGGUCAGACUGGCCUUGAACUUGCAGUCUGCCUCUUUCUCCUAAAUGUUGGGCUUACAGCUCAUGAUGGAGCAGUCCAAGAAGUCCUCUCUCAUGGUGGCCCGCAGCAUUCUCAACAACAAGCUAAUCAGCAAGAA